rnacentral:rRNA from 1 species
UACGGAGGGGACUAGCGUUGUUCGGAAUUACUGGGCGUAAAGCGCACGUAGGCGGAUUUGUAAGUCAGGGGUGAAAUCCCGGGGCUCAACCUCGGAACUGCCUUUGAUACUGCGAAUCUCGAGUCCGGAAGAGGUGAGUGGAAUUCCUAGUGUAGAGGUGAAAUUCGUAGAUAUUAGGAAGAACACCAGUGGCGAAGGCGGCUCACUGGUCCGGUACUGACGCUGAGGUGCGAAAAGCGUGGGGGA